rnacentral:rRNA from 1 species
GACGAACGCUGGCGGCGUGCUUAACACAUGCAAGUCGAACGGAAAGGCCCUGCUUUUGUGGGGUGCUCGAGUGGCGAACGGGUGAGUAACACGCGAGUAACCUGCCCCUGACUUUGGGAUAACUUUAGGAAACUGGGGCUAAUACCGGAUAGGAGCUCCUGCUGCAUGGUGGGGGUUGGAAAGUUUCGGCGGUUGGGGAUGGACUCGCAGCUUAUCAGCUUGUUGGUGGGGUAGUGGCUUAACAAGGCUUUGACGGGUAGCCGGCCUGAGAGGGUGACCGGCCACAUUGGGACUAAGAUACGGCCCAGACUCCUACGGGAGGCAGCGGUGGGGAGUAUUGCACAAUGAGCGGAAGCCUGAUGCAGCGACGCCGCGUGCGGGAUGACGGCCUUCGGGUUGUAAACCGCUUUCGCCUGUAACGAGGCGUGAGUGACGGUAAUGGGUAAAGAAGCACCGGCUAACUACGUG